CGGAUGACACCUAUUUCAAUUCCUCUAAAACAAAACUUGUUAUAAUAAUAUAAGUUCACACGAAAUUAUCUUUGAAACUAUUUGUACAUUUCGUCCUACUGUUUUGUUGUGUCUUAUGUACAGGUUGCGAAGACUUUUAAUCCCAACAAAAGCUUGGGCGUCCAGUUUUUGAAGUUUUCGAUUGCCUCUCAAGUUACUGUAAUAACAUAGCGUCUUUGAAAGUCAAUGGUCCUACUUCGUUAAUAAAAUUAUAAUUGAGCUGACUGUAAAAAAAUAAAUAAAACAUCAGAAA